UGAAAAGGGAGGAGGAUGUGGCGAGGCUGGGGGCUGAGAAGGAGCAGCUGGACCAGUCUCUGAACAGCCUGCACCAGGAGGUGGACGGAGCCCUGAGGCAAAAUCAGCAGCUGCAGGCCCAGAUGACAGAGAUGGAGCAGGCCCACACCCAGCGGCUCCAGGACCUGACAGCUCAGCACCAGCGGGACCUGGCCACAGAGGCAGAGCGUCUCCAUGGGGCCCGGCCGCAGGCCACACAGGCCCUGGAGUCCCAAGAAUGGACCCACCAGCAGCGGGUGAAGGUGCUGGAAGAGCAGCGCCCAAAGGGACUGAAGCUCCCAGCACAGGGGAGGCGCCCAGCGUGGCUGCAGAGGAAGGGAACGCACCGCAGGUGGGAGGGGCCCAGCUGAUUUCUCAGCAUCACAGUGAAAGGCACCCGUGAUGAGACAGCUCGCUCUCGGCAGCUUCAGGACCCUCCUUGCCCUGGCUGCUCAUGGGGAACAUUUGAAAUGCAUGUGGGGGCCUCCGAAUUUUGAAUUUUAAUAAAUAGUUGAAUCAGC
rnacentral:lncRNA from 1 species